rnacentral:lncRNA from 1 species
AUAUCACAUCUGAUAACACACAUCGGCUCAAAAUAAAGGCAUAGAGACAAAGUCUAGAAACAAACUACACACAUAAGAAAUCUUGAUUUAUGACAGAGAUUGAAAAAUGAUUAACAUUUCAACACAAGAAACUUUCAUGAAUUGCUAGUGGGUGUGGUAAAUGAGUACAAUCAUUUUACAAAUAUUUUUUUAUGAUUUGGUAAAGUUGAAUAUAUGCAUGCCAUAUGAGCCAGUAAUUCCACUCCUACAUAUAUAUCCUAAAGUAUCUCUAGGACUUAUA